rnacentral:sRNA from 1 species
AACUAAACGGGAUUACAGUGGCAGCUCCCGAUUUUCCUUCAAAAUCGGGACUAUAAUGAAAAGCCAGACGAACA